AGUGGAUGGUAAAGGUUUUAUCAUAAAUAAAAGGAUUUGUUGCAAAUCAUGCUCCAUUGGCCUUUUGUGUUUUUCUACCCACCUUUACCUCCGUGACGGUGAGAUAUCGUGAUGUUCUUACUGGGCUAGUGUAGCUCACUCCUUAUUUAACCAUUUCAGAUCAGAAAGACAUGGUUCCCGAGCCCGUUCCGCAGGAGGACGACGAAGGGGAUACCUAGAG
rnacentral:lncRNA from 1 species